UACGUAUGGGGCAAGCGUUAUCCGGAUUUACUGGGUGUAAAGGGUGCGUAGGUGGCAUGGUAAGUCAGAUGUGAAAACUUGGGGCUCAACUUCAAGAUUGCAUCUGAAACUGCUAAGCUAGAGUGCAGGAGAGGAAAGUGGAAUUCCGAGUGUAGCGGUGAAAUGCGUAGAGAUUCGGAGGAACACCAGUAGCGAAGGCGACUUUCUGGACUGUAACUGACACUGAGGCACGAAAGCGUGGGGAGCGAACAGG
rnacentral:rRNA from 1 species